CACAGGAAACAGGUAAAUGAAGUGCUAAAAUGCUCUUAAGUUUAGUAAUUUUUGCAACUGCAGUAGGAGAGAUUGAUGGACUCUAUUGUUUGAGUUGUUCCGGAGUUGUCUCCCCUAGACACUGUCAUUCUAUACAAAAGUGUGGAGAAG